rnacentral:rRNA from 1 species
CUAUUAAGCUUUAUAAUUAUAAUUUAAUAUCAACAUAAAUUAAAGAUUAUUUUACUGGGGCAGUAUAUAAAUAAAAUUUUAUUUUAACAAUAUGAAUUUAAUACUUGAAAAACCAAAAAUUUUUUAAAAAAGAAUAAGUUACUAUAGGGAUAACAGCAUAAUUUUCUUUAAGAGUUCUUAUCAUCAAGAAAGUUUGUGACCUCGAUGUUGGAUUAAGAUACCUAUUUCAUGCNAUAAUAAAAUAAGGA